rnacentral:lncRNA from 1 species
AGGGUUUUGAUAUUAAUUCUAUAUAAAAUACUGAUUUACUCCUCUAUAUAUGUUCUUCCCAGGGUUCUGCUGGUGUGGCGGGGGCUAGGGGCCAGCCUGGGCUACCAGGUCCACAGGGACUUCCAGGAAACGAUGGUCCACAGGGUCUCAAAGGGGACACAGGAAAAGAGGGUCCUAUGGGUAAUAGAGGACUGCAAGGCAUUGAAGGGCCGAUGGGAAUAAUUGGAGAUCUGGGUCCAAAAGGCCUUUCAGGAAACACUGGCAGCAGGGGUCUGGACGGAGAGCGAGGGGACCCAGGACCCAAAGGACAAAGAGGUCCACCUGGAGCACCUGGGAUUGUGGGUCCUCAGGGAGAGGGAGGUCCUUCUGGCCUUGUUGGCUUACCUGGGGUUAGAGGGCAGGCAGGUCCUCCAGGUAUCCAGGGUGAAGAUGGUGAAGUGGGCCUCCAGGGAAUGAUUGGAAAGGAAGGUCAAAAGGUUGGGAGCGUUUUAUGACUUUCAGCUGGAACAAUAGGAGGCAAAUGACAUGUGGAAAAGAGCUUAGACUUACUGAGGGCUUCUCUACAAACAGACUGACGCAAGACGAUGCACACUGUACUACUAUAUAGACAAAAGUAUUGGGACACCUGCUCUUUUAGAGAGAGUUUUUCCCCAAAUCAAGGAUAUUAUCAAGAGUUUAUUCUGCUUAAACCUGUCCUGAUAAUU